UCAGACGAUGCGUCAUGCAUAUCAAUAAGCGGAGGAAAAGAAACUAACAAGGAUUCCCUCAGUAACGGCGAGUGAAGCGGGAAGAGCUCAAAUUUGAAAUCUUGAAAGGUCACCUUUCACGAAUUGUAGUUUAAAGAAGUGUUUUCUGUUACGAUCGUAAUAUAAGUUCUUUGGAAUAGGACAUCACAGAGGGUGAGAAUCCCGUCUAUGAUUGCGAUUUGUAGCUUUGUGAUACACUUUCAAAGAGUCGGGUUGUUUGGGAAUGCAGCCCAAAACGGGAGGUAAAUUUCUUCUAAGGCUAAAUAUUGGCGAGAGACCGAUAGCGAACAAGUACCGUGAGGGAAAGAUGAAAAGAACUUUGAAAAGAGAGUUAAAUAGUACGUGAAAUUGUCAAAAGGGAAGCGUUUAACACCAGUGUUGUCUUCUGAAAAUCAACCUCUGUUAGCUUUAUGCAUGUUUGUUUAGACCUAAUCAGCUAUCUUGCAUGUUCUAUUGUUUGCAGUGGUGCACUUUUCAGUUUACAGGUCAACAUCAGUUUUUUUUACCGUAAAAAAGUUAAAGAAAGGUAGCUCAUGGCUCCGGUCGUGAGUGUUAUAGUCUUUUUCCUAUGCGGUAGGAGAGACUGAGGUCUGCAGUGUAGGCUAUUUGGCUAGAUACUCAGGUGCUAUGUGAUACCAUUUCAUAAACAACUUGUUGAUUAUGUUUUGUCUAUUGCAUACUCGCUUGUACUAUCAUACCUACGCUUAGGAUGUUGACUGAUAUGUAGUCGUA
rnacentral:rRNA from 1 species